rnacentral:rRNA from 1 species
AUGUUUCUUGUGUCCAGCGAAAUUUUGCAGUUAAGUAGAUCAACAUUUCAAGGGAAAAGCGUGGACAUACAUACAAAGCUGAUGAGGAGAUAUAAGCAGGUCCCUGAGUGGUGGUUCAUCUGCAUCCUUCUUGUUAGCAUUGCUGCCACUGUGUUUGCUUGCGAGUACUACAUCGAGCAGCUCCAGCUGCCCUGGUGGGGAGUACUGGUUGCAUGCGCCAUUGCCUUUUUCUUCACCCUCCCAAUUGGGAUCAUCACAGCCACAACAAACCAGACCCCAGGAUUGAACAUUGUAACCGAGUACAUCAUCGGGUACUUGUACCCUGGACGUCCGGUCGCCAAUAUGUGCUUCAAGGUAUACGGUUAUAUCAGCAUGCACCAAGCUCUGAUGUUUCUUCAAGAUUUUAAAUUGGGACACUACAUGAAGAUUCCCCCAAGGACCAUGUUUAUGGCUCAGGUGGUAGGAACAUCAAUUGUGGCAUUUGUGUACCUUGGAACGGCGUGGUGGCUGAUGGACACAAUCCCCAACAUCUGCGACAUUGAGCUUCUCUCAGCGGACAACCCUUGGACAUGCCCCACUGAUCAUGUGUUCUAUGAUGCGUCGGUCAUAUGGGGACUUAUUGGCCCGCGCAGAAUAUUCGGAGUCUUGGGAACUUACUCGGCAGUGAACUGGUUUUUCUUGGGAGGUGCUAUUGCUCCUCUGUUGGUAUGGUUUGCACACAAGGCAUUCCCCAGCCAGAAUUGGAUCUUACUCAUCAACAUGCCGGUGAUGAUCGGUUGCACUGUCAAGAUGCCGCCUGCCACUGCAGUAAACUACACCACAUGGGUACUUGUUGGGUUUUUGUCAGGUUAUGUGGUCUAUAGAUAUCGACGAGACUGGUGGGAACGACACAAUUAUCUGCUCUCAGGUGCACUAGAUGCAGGUUUGGCGUUCAUGGCUGUCUUAGUUUACUUGUGCCUAGGCUUGGAGAACAUUAGCUUGAACUGGUGGGGCAAUGACUUGGAUGGAUGUCCCCUAGCUUCUUGCCCCACUGCUAAAGGUAUAGUUGUCAAGGGUUGCCCUGUGUACAACUGA